rnacentral:lncRNA from 1 species
GGCUUGAUUACUAAAUUAGUCAUUGAGGUUUGGCCUCAAACUUAUUUGAAUCCCCAACUUUUUCAAAGUUGCAAUGUUAUCCCUGCUGCUAUAAAAUCAUUUUAGUCAAGCCAUUACGGUCACUUUGAUGUUGCUAACUCAAUUGGAUCUGUAUAGGUGGCAUGUAUUUUAUGAUGUGGCAAGAAGACGUUGAUUACAAGGCCAAAACGUAGCAGAGAGAUGGGAAGGGAAAAUUGCCUCAAUGGCUUGUUUGACUAAAGCUCGAGGAAUUUGGAAUUUUUAGGGAGUUGGGGUUUCAAGGUCCCAACAAAUUGCUGACAUAGCAAUUUUUCCCUCCAAAUUGUCUCUCUCUUUGUCACAUUUUGGAGAAAUUAUUGGGUAUAACAGUUCUACCAACCCGGAGUAUAGACCAUCCAAUCACAACUUGCCACGUAUCAAUUCAUACUAAAAAAAAUUGCGUUCCACUAUCAGCCAAUCUGGUCACUUUUUCCCAUCUGAAAAAAGGAAAAAAAGAACCCUAAAUCUAAGCAUCCCCUCUCCCUAUUGUCCUCUCCCAUAGCUCUAUCUCACUGGCCUCUUCCCCCCAUGGAGCCAACACUACCACACAUUGUCGACCUCUGGCUCAGCCCUCCCAGCUGUCCACUCCCACAACUCCAUCUCACUAGCAUCCUCCUUCCUUAGAGCCAACCCCAGCACCCACCAUUGACCUUUGGCUCGACCCCCCCCCCCACAUCCUCUCCCCAACUCUAUCUCACCAGCCUCCCCCCUCCUCGAAACCAACCCCACCACCCGUCGUUGACCUUUAGCUUGGCCCAGUGAAGGUAGAAAAGGUUUAUUAUGAAAGAAUGCAACAUAGUUAUAUCAACACCCGAUGUAGAGUAAAAUCCAAAAUCAUAUUCAAGAUUACAA